rnacentral:rRNA from 1 species
CUACGGGUGGCUGCAGUGGGGAAUUUUGGACAAUGGGCGAAAGCCUGAUCCAGCCAUUCCGCGUGAGUGAUGAAGGCCUUCGGGUUGUAAAGCUCUUUCGGCCGGGAAGAAAUCGUGCAGGCUAAUAUCCUGCAUGGAUGACGGUACCGGAUCAAGAAGCACCGGCUAAGUACGUGCCAGCAGCCGCGGUAAUACGUAGGGUGCGAGCGUUAAUCGGAAUUACUGGGCGUAAAGCGUGCGCAGGCGGAUGUUUAAGCCAGAUGUGAAAUCCCCGGGCUUAACCUGGGAAUGGCAUUUGGAACUGGACAUCUAGAGUGUGUCAGAGGGGGGUGGAAUUCCACGUGUAGCAGCGAAAUGCGUAGAGAUGUGGAGGAACACCGAUGGCGAAGGCAGCCCCCUGGGAUAACACUGACGCUCAUGCACGAAAGCGUGGGGAGCAAACAGGAUUAGAUACCCGAGUAGUC